UUAAUGAGUACGGUUGUACUGACAUGGCCCAUGGAGGGUGAAAGGCCCGUAAGAGUGGAGUCUUGGCAUGACAGUGUCUCUCUGGAUUGACCUUGGAGUCGGGUUGUUUGGGAAUGCAGCCCUAAGCGGGUGGUAAACUCCAUCCAAGGCUAAAUACAAGCACGAGUCCGAUAGCGAACAAGUACCGUGAGGGAAAGUUGAAAAGUACUUUGAAGAGAGAGUAAACAGUGCGUGAAACCGCUUAGAGGUAAACGGGUGGAGUUGAACUGCAAUCUCUGAGAAUUCAGCUGGGGAAUUUUGCUUGAGCUUGGUCAAUUGGGCAGGGCCUCGGGGUAUGCUUAUCUGCAUGUUCUGAUCUUCGGGUCGGAAUGCGCGUUGCUCUUAUCAAGGGCUGUGCGCCUCGGGUGUCCGGCUGGCUCAUUCGCCAGUGCACUUUCUUGGAGUGAUCACCACGACCGGCGCUGCUGCUGGGCUGUUAUAGUUAAACCGGGCAUUCAUCGUCCUUGUGGCGUUGGGUGCACGACACGGCAGGUAACUGGGUUCUUGCUUCGGCUUGUUUCUUGGUGUAUGCUGGCUUUAACGGUUCUAUGCGGUGUGUCGGAGACGGCGGCUUGUGGUGUGUGCAUGCGUGUCUAUCUGUUGGUGCAUUCUGGUUUGGUAGCUGUGUGCUUGUUCAACAGGCCCAGUUAUGGCUGGAGUGUAUCAGUGGGUGGUUGCGUGUGUGACACUUUUCAGGGCCAAUAGUCUGUGGUGUUGUGGUAGACUAUCCACCUGACCCGUCUUGAAACACGGACCAAGGAGAGUAACAUGUGCGCGAGUCAUUGGGCGUAACGAAACCCACAGGCGCAGUGAAAGUAAAGGUCUGGCUUGUCCAGUCUAUGGUGAGAUCCUGUCGUUGUUCAUGCAUGGUACCACCAAGCUUGGAGCGGCAGGCGCAUCACCGGCCCGUCCCAUGACGUGGUUACAGUCUUCGGAUUGUGCGCCGUCGGGGCGGGGCAUGAGCGUACAUGUUGAGACCCGAAAGAUGGUGAACUAUGCUUGCGCAGGUUGAAGCCAGAGGAAACUCUGGUGGAGGACCGCAGCGAUUCUGACGUGCAAAUCGAUCGUCAAACGUGAGUAUAGGGGCGAAAGACUAAUCGAACCAUCUAGUAGCUGGUUCCCUCCGAAGUUUCCUCC
rnacentral:rRNA from 1 species